GGACAGUCAAGCACUACACUACUCGAAACAGCGUAGACAUCGCUGGGACUCUGGAUGUAGGCACACUGGACAAAAAGAUUAGUCACCGCCCAGGAAACAGAGUCCACAGGUUUAUUCAGAUGGUCUGGGACAGGAGCCAGAAAGCCUCGUGAAGUCAAUUGAAGAGCAGCUUGAACAAGCAGUGACAUUGACACACCAACUGCCGACGUGGAGACGAAUAAAGAGGCCUGCGACUGGCUGUGAAUAACGCAACAAUAAAGGGAGCUGUCGGCUCCCGUUCUGCAGUAGUAGGACUCAAAUGCCCGACCGCAUUGAUGUUUCUCUCUUCAAAUGAACAAGAGCAUCACCAGAAUUUAUAGUUUGAAGUUGCCUGACAGCAUUAACGACUGCGUUUAAAGUUGACUGGCAGCUCUAAAGAUUAAACUGGUCAUACUAUAUUACUGAAACUUACGUUUAAAGUACGGUAGCGUACGAUGACACUGACAGCAACAAAGAUGAAAUUCAUCAUCUGAAGAAGGAAAGCGAAUUGGAAUGAGAUUAAGACAGCCACCAAACUGACUCAUUCGUCAUUGAACCAGUCAUCAACUUUCCUGAUUCCCGACACGACCCGAUGGAUCGUCAAGAAAUAUCACUUCCCCUUCACACAGUGAAAUUCCCAGUGUUCUCCACCAGAAAGUGAAUAGGUGAUUCCAGUUAUAGUGCAGUGCAAAGUGUUCGGUGAUGAAAGAACUCUCCUGUGAAAAUCACCCGAGUUCAUA